CCUACGGGCGGCAGCAGUGGGGAAUUUUGGACAAUGGGGGAAACCCUGAUCCAGCCAUCCCGCGUGUGCGAUGAAGGCCUUCGGGUUGUAAAGCACUUUUGUCAGGAAAGAAAUCGCCCGGGAUAAUACCUCGGGUGGAUGACGGUACCUGAAGAAUAAGCACCGGCUAACUACGUGCCAGCAGCCGCGGUAAUACGUAGGGUGCAAGCGUUAAUCGGAAUUACUGGGCGUAAAGCGUGCGCAGGCGGUUCGGAAAGAAAGAUGUGAAAUCCCAG
rnacentral:rRNA from 1 species